UACGUAGGGUGCAAGCGUUGUCCGGAAUUAUUGGGCGUAAAGAGCUCGUAGGCGGCUUGUCGCGUCGGCUGUGAAAACCUGGGGCUCAACCCCGGGCCUGCAGCCGAUACGGGCAAGCUAGAAUUCGGUAGGGGAGACUGGAAUUCCUGGUGUAGCGGUGAAAUGCGCAGAUAUCAGGAGGAACACCGGUGGCGAAGGCGGCAUCCUGGACCGGUAUUGACGCUGAGGAGCGAAAGCCAGGGGAGCAAACGGG
rnacentral:rRNA from 1 species